rnacentral:rRNA from 1 species
AUGGCCAGCGAGUCAUCGCCAGCGGCUUACUCUCCCAAGGACAAGGGCAACACCGAGGUGCUGUCCCGAAGGACCUUCCCAGGCCAGGGAGAGUUUCAGGAGGUCGUCAGGGUGGCGACAAAGGGUGACUCCUCGGCCACCGAACACAUAGGGGAGAAAACCCCCAUGGAGACUGGCCAUGGGGGCCGUAUUCAAUUCGGCCCCCAGACGGAUACCAUCUCGGAGACCUACACGGCUCCGAAAUCGAGCGAGCAGCCUCCUCCGAAGGGAGGAGGUGUGCCUAUUCCGCCGGUGACCUCUGUCCAUCCAGAGGCACCAAAUAAUCUGCUGGAAGUGCUAAGAGGCGCUUCCAUUGUGGAGGAACACCGUAUCCCUAUGGGUACGGUGGUUGAGACGGUUCAGUCCAUCAAGAGCAGACUGACCGAAGCCUGCGCCAGCCUGCUGACAGGCUUUGAGGCGUCGUUGCUGGCCGCAACCUCUCAUGCUGCUGAGGUCUCCAGACUAAAGCAGAGUCUGGAGCGGGCCGAACAAGAGCUCGGCCUUGUAAAAAGGCAGCUGGAGGACGAGCAAGGAGCGGCGACCGAGGUCGAGGUCCUUCAAAAGGCGCUGGUCGAGGCCGAGGAAAAAGCUGCCAAGGAACAAGCCGCCCGUGAGAAGCACGAGGCCAGGCUUAAUGAGGUCGAGCAAGAGCUCCAGGAUGCCGUGAAGAAAUACGAGUCCUUGGAGCGCGAUGUUUUGGCUCAAGAGAUCGAACUCGCCGAGGCUCGCCAAAGCGCGGAAGAGGCCCGAAUUGAAGCCCAGGGCACCCUCCAGGAGAUCUAG